AUGAACGCUGGCGGCAGGCUUAACACAUGCAAGUCGAGCGGGGAGAUGUAGCUUGCUACAUUUCCUAGCGGCGGACGGGUGAGUAAUGCUUAGGAAUCUGCCUAUUAGUGGGGGACAACAUUCCGAAAGGAAUGCUAAUACCGCAUACGCCCUACGGGGGAAAGCAGGGGAUCUUCGGACCUUGCGCUAAUAGAUGAGCCUAAGUCAGAUUAGCUAGUUGGUGGGGUAAAGGCCUACCAAGGCGACGAUCUGUAGCGGGUCUGAGAGGAUGAUCCGCCACACUGGGACUGAGACACGGCCCAGACUCCUACGGGAGGCAGCAGUGGGGAAUAUUGGACAAUGGGCGAAAGCCUGAUCCAGCCAUGCCGCGUGUGUGGAGAAGGCCUUUUGGUUGUAAAGCACUUUAAGCGAGGAGGAGGCUACUUGGAUUAAUACUCUAGGAUAGUGGACGUUACUCGCAGAAUAAGCACCGGCUAACUCUGUGCCAGCAGCCGCGGUAAU
rnacentral:rRNA from 1 species